UACCCUGUCUAGCCUGCCAGACGUUUGAGAGGGUGAAGACCGUGGUGCCGGAGUUGAAGCCCAUCAAAGUUGUUUCACCAUGGCACAUGAUCGGGGUGGACCUCAUCGGACCCUUCACAAAAUCCAGGAAUGGCAACAGCUGGUGUCUGACGGCGACCGAUCAUUUUACCAAGUGGGUGGAGGCAAUACCCAUUAAGGACGAGACUGGCGAGGCCACCUCCAAGGCGAUGGUGGACAUCUUCAACACCCACGGUUCUCCUGAGGUCAUCUUGAGUGACCGAGGUCAUGAACGCUGGAACAAGGUUUGGUGAAUGGACCAACCAGACACUCAAGACUGCCAUGGGCAAGUCCCUUGAUUGGUAACAGGAAGGGUGGCAGAACAACCUGAAGGUAAUUAUCCUUGCACACAACAGCAGCAUCCAGGCCUCCACUGAGUACGGACGGGAGCCACAGCUGUUGACUGAGGUAAACAAUGCAAUUGUAUGUACAAUUAUUGCAUAUAGAAUAGUCUUUCAAAUGUGAUUGACUUAGUGUUGUAGUUUGUCUGUUGCUAUUUUUGUAUAACGUACUUUCAGAUCACUGAAACCACACCUAAUUGCAUUUAUUCCUGUUAUCAAUCAAGGUGAGACUGAACAUGGACAAGGCGCAGGACUAACAGAAGGAGAGCCACCAGAGCAGAAUCAGGAAGGGGACCAAGUGCUACGACAUCCGGGAGAAUUACUUGGUUUGGAAGAAGGACGAAAGGAAGGCGAGACCUGGGAAACCUCGCUGCUUUUUCGCUCCUAGCUGGGGUCACCAUCUGUUAAAGGUUACCUCGGUGGAAGCCAACAAUCUUCUACAGUUGGAGCAGUUGGACGGUCGACCACUGAAAGCACUGACACCCUACACUUCAGUGAAGCCCAAUAGACAAAGACCAUCGACUGUCCGAGCCCCCCAGGAGGUAUCCCGUCCACCAGAACCAGUGAGUUCGGAUCAGCCUGAUUCUCUGUGCUCUAAGUCGGAGGGGGACCAGCUUGAGGACCUAGGGGUUCUGCCCAACACCCAGACGUGGAUCCACCUGAUGUCCUCCAUUACCAACCACCCUCCAACUUUUCAUUACAUAAUCUACAGCUACUGUUGUUGUCAUUAUCUGCUAAGAAAGUUGUUUUGCUCUAUCAUACUGGGCACAUAAUAUGUGAGAUACACAGAUUAACUGAAAACACUAGCACUGCAAACACUCAGAACAAAGAGAGCAGCAGUGCCUGGACUUUGCAGUCUCCCUCUUCAAGUCCCCCUUCUGAGACUGGCUGCCUGUUGAGAACUAGUGACAGGCAGAACCUCCCACCCACACAGCAACCACCUCCUCUAUAUUCCACACACCAGAAUUCAGUAUUUUAGUCUAUGAUUGCCUGUGAGUGUACAAAAAAUCUACGAAAAUAAAUUAAUGACACAACUGUACCAAAAUCUAUCAAAGUUUAUGUAUUAAAAUCUUAAAUUUUGCCAGGUUGGUUUUCACAGCUGUUUCACAAUAUGUUAAUUAUUGUAAGUUGUAAGGUACAGUGGGGGAAAAAAAGUAUUUAGUCAGCCACCAAUUGUGCAAGUUCUCCCACUUAAAAAGAU